rnacentral:rRNA from 1 species
AGAGUUUGAUCCUGGCUCAGGACGAACGCUGGCGGCGCGCCUAACACAUGCAAGUCGAACGAGCGAGAGAGAGCUUGCUUUCUCAAGCGAGUGGCGAACGGGUGAGUAACGCGUGAGGAACCUGCCUCAAAGAGGGGGACAACAGUUGGAAACGACUGCUAAUACCGCAUAAGCCCACGGCUCGGCAUCGAGCAGAGGGAAAAGGAGCAAUCCGCUUUGAGAUGGCCUCGCGUCCGAUUAGCUAGUUGGUGAGGUAACGGCCCACCAAGGCGACGAUCGGUAGCCGGACUGAGAGGUUGAACGGCCACAUUGGGACUGAGACACGGCCCAGACUCCUACGGGAGGCAGCAGUGGGGAAUAUUGCACAAUGGGGGAAACCCUGAUGCAGCGACGCCGCGUGGAGGAAGAAGGUCUUCGGAUUGUAAACUCCUGUUGUUGAGGAAGAUAAUGACGGUACUCAACAAGGAAGUGACGGCUAACUACGUGCCAGCAGCCGCGGUAAAACGUAGGUCACAAGCGUUGUCCGGAAUUACUGGGUGUAAAGGGAGCGCAGGCGGGAAGACAAGUUGGAAGUGAAAUCCAUGGGCUCAACCCAUGAACUGCUUUCAAAACUGUUUUUCUUGAGUAGUGCAGAGGUAGGCGGAAUUCCCGGUGUAGCGGUGGAAUGCGUAGAUAUCGGGAGGAACACCAGUGGCGAAGGCGGCCUACUGGGCACCAACUGACGCUGAGGCUCGAAAGUGUGGGUAGCAAACAGGAUUAGAUACCCUGGUAGUCCACACCGUAAACGAUGAUUACUAGGUGUUGGAGGAUUGACCCCUUCAGUGCCGCAGUUAACACAAUAAGUAAUCCACCUGGGGAGUACGACCGCAAGGUUGAAACUCAAAGGAAUUGACGGGGGCC